rnacentral:tRNA from 1 species
GCAGUGGUGGUUCGGUGGUAGAAUUCUCACCUUCCGUGCAGGAGACCCAGGUUUAAUUCCUGGCCAGUACA